GUGACUCAAUAGUGGAGUCCUUCCCUUGCGUCUGGUCGUUCUUGUCCAUCGUUCGAUUCUAGCCUAGCGGUUCUGUAGGUUCUUUAUCAAUUAUUUUUUUAAAUAAUUUUUAAUAAUUAAUUUUGCAUCACAUACCUUUUCAGUAGGUUUUGGCUUCCACUGAAAGAUCUGGUUAGGUCCAACCAUUAACAUGAUCAUGCUCAGUGCAUCUAACUAAUGAAUGAUU
rnacentral:lncRNA from 1 species